UACGUAGGGGGCAAGCGUUGUCCGGAAUUAUUGGGCGUAAAGGGCGUGUAGGUGGUUACGUAAGUCUGGCGUGAAAUUUUUCGGCUUAACCGGGAAAGGUCGUCGGAUACUGCGGGACUAGAGGACGGUAGAGGCGUGUGGAAUUCCGGGUGUAGUGGUGAAAUGCGUAGAGAUCCGGAGGAACACCAGUGGCGAAGGCGACACGCUGGGCCGUACCUGACACUGAUGCGCGACAGCAUGGGGAGCAAACAGG
rnacentral:rRNA from 1 species